CAAUCCUAAAACUACUAACUGCAAUAACAAGUAGAUCCCCUCCCCCUAGAAAAUCUUGGAUCCGCCACUGGAAAGCAGAGUGAUGGAGGAGUGUUUAAAAAUAGCUCCCUGUAUAGAGAAAUUGUUAACCAGACUCUUGAUCUACCACCUGCCAAACCUUUUCCUGGCCUUAGUGAAAAUAUUCCUUAUGUAAUGGUAGCUGGCGAUGCAUUUCCACUGUCACAUUAUUUGAUGAAACCCUAUCCUAAAAAAGGUCUAUCUAUAGAGGAAAGAGAAUAUAAUAUGAGAUUAUCACAUGCUUGGGUUAGUGUUGAACAAAGCUUUGGAGGCAUUAUAAAAAAAUUUGAAAUUCUCAGCAAACCUAUAGAAGUUAGUUUGGAGCUUGUCAAGACUAUAUGCCUUGUGUAUAAUAUAAUAAUAAGCAAUGAAGGAAUAGGUGCUGAAGUUGAUGACAUAGAUACAAUGCCUAAUCUGACCACUAGACCACUCCCCAUCAGCAAAGAUAGACAAAACAAUUCUUCAACAAUUGAAUCUAGAAUUUUAAGAGA